CCUACGGGGUGCUGCAGUGGGGAAUAUUGCACAAUGGGGGAAACCCUGAUGCAGCGACGCCGCGUGAGUGAGGAAGUAUUUCGGUAUGUAAAGCUCUAUCAGCAGGGAAGAAAAUGACGGUACCUGAGUAAGAAGCCCCGGCUAACUACGUGCCAGCAGCCGCGGUAAUACGUAGGGGGCAAGCGUUAUCCGGAUUUACUGGGUGUAAAGGGAGCGUAGACGGCAGUGCAAGUCAGGAGUGAAAGGCCAGGGCUCAACCCUCGGACUGCUCUGGAAACUGUAUAGCUGGAGUGCAGGAGAGGUAAGUGGAAUUCCUAGUGUAGCGGUGAAAUGCGUAGAUAUUAGGAGGAACACCAGUGGCGAAGGCGGCUUACUGGACUGUAACUGACGUUGAGGCUCGAAAGCGUGGGGAGCAAACAGGAUUAGAUACCCGUGUAGUC
rnacentral:rRNA from 1 species